CAGCAGCCGCGGUAAUACGUAGGGUGCAAGCGUUAAUCGGAAUUACUGGGCGUAAAGCGUGCGCAGGCGGUUGUGUAAGACAGGUGUGAAAUCCCCGGGCUUAACCUGGGAACUGCGCUUGUGACUGCACAGCUAGAGUAUGGCAGAGGGGGGCGGAAUUCCACGUGUAGCAGUGAAAUGCGUAGAGAUGUGGAGGAACACCGAUGGCGAAGGCAGCCCCCUGGGCCAAUACUGACGCUCAUGCACGAAAGCGUAGGGAGCAAACAGGAUUAGAUACCCCUGUAGUCCCUGUCUCUUAUAC
rnacentral:rRNA from 1 species